rnacentral:rRNA from 1 species
AUUGAACGCUGGCGGCAGGCCUAACACAUGCAAGUCGAACGAGUGGCGGACGGGUGAGUAAUGUCUGGGAAACGGCCCGAUGGAGGGGGAUAACUACUGGAAACGGUAGCUAAUACCGCAUACCAUCGGAUGUGCCCAGAUGGGAUUAUGGAGUGGGUGGGGCAAAGGCUCACCUAGGCGACGAUCCCUACCUGGUCUGAGAGGAGUACCAGCCACACUGGAACUGAGACACGGUCCAGACUCCUACGUGAGGCAGCAGUGGGGAAUAUUGCACAAUGGGCGAAAGCCUGAUCCAGCCAUGCCGCGUGUAUGAAGAAGGCCUUCGGUUUGUAAAGUACUUUCAGCGAGGAGGCGUUACUCGCAGAAGAAGCACCGGCUAACUCCGUGCCAGCAGCCGCGGUAAUUC